AUUUCCCCUCCACUUUACUCUUCCUCCCCCACUGAAGUACACACCAGCGCCAUUCUUCUUCCUUUCUCUCUCAACACCAUCAAUCAGACGACUAAGAAUCUCACCGGCACAUCUCACCAAAACCCUUCAUCUCCAAGCGCCACGGACUGCCGCUUAGCCGGAGAAGAAGACUAACCCACUGCCAUGGCCGCUUUCAAGCCAUGGCGUAAAGUGCAAAUGCAUGUGCAGGACCUCGAUCGUGAUGCAAAACGAUUGGAAAUCCGGACGCAAUUAGGUCUUCAUCAUCUGGUUUAUUUUUCUAUAUCUGUUUGAUAGAUCUCAUAUGCCCCUUAUUUUGCUUUACAUUUGAUAAAUCUCCAAUAUACCCCUUGUUUGCCCGAUUUGCAUGUCUUUGUUAGUGUUAAUUUUUUUGGGUUUGAUGUAUAUGUCUGUGAUUUCCGCUGGAAGUUGUCUUUGAAUAAAGUUUGUAUUUUUUCUGCUUGUUUUCCCAUGUGAAGUGGUGUGUUACAGAAGUGCUUGUUUAGGGUUUCAUACUUGUUGAUUGGGGCUUCCUAGCCUAUUUAGUGCUCAAUUGGGUUGGCUAUUUUGAUAGGAAAUGGAGAAGAACAAAACCCUAACUUUUGAAGACUCAUGUUGAAUGUCAAGGCCAAGAUUUCAGUGAUAAGGGGGAAAAAUGAUACGAUGAAGAUACUCCAAGCUUUUGUUCCUGGAUGUGAGAUUGAAGCAAAGAGUAGAAAUCACAACUUCAGCAAAGAACUCGCUUUCAAGGAAGGGGUUUGAUCAUUGCUGCUUCUUGAGAAGGUUUUCAGGGGUUUGCAUCUUUUGUCGGCCAUAUUUGACCUCUGAGUGAGAGGGAGAGAAGCUAAUUUUUUCCUCAGACCAUUUUCAAUCAACCGCAAAAGUACAAGUAACGAUUAGGCCCGAGUGAUUUUUGUGCCAUGGUGAGGAAGCAUAAAAAGGGAUGGACCCAUGGGAGCUUAAAUUAUUGAGAUAAGAGGAGAGUUACUUUACUUUUUUAGAACUUGUACAUGAUCAAGCUGCAACAAUUUGAUAUUUUGUUAUCAGUAUGGUCGUUGGUGAUUAUAAUGAUCAAGUAUGGACAUAAAGGUGCAACAGGAGACCAAUUGGACAAAGGGCAAAAUUUCAAUCACCUAUGAGGCAAAGCUGACUACCAUCUUGAGGAUUCCCCCCUUAGCUUGG